GGUCUUUUUGAAAAUGAAAGGAGGGGAAAGGAAAGCAAGCCUCAUUUUUGAGCAGAGGAGCAAUGUGGUCACACUUCCUUGGAAGAUGGAUUGGAGAGAGGAGGGACCGAAAAGAGGGGAAGCAAUUGGAAACUGGAGAUGAAAUGCAGGUUUUGAGGAACAGCCUAUAGGACAAUUUGGUUAUCAAACCCCAUGGAUAAAGAAUGCCUAUUGUUCAGAUGAAGGUUUACAUUUGGAAGGACAGUCCACAGAGCUGGUCCCUUAAGUGUAUACGUGUGUGUGACACACCCACUUCCCUCCCCAAUGGAAAACACACACAUCUACAUAUAUACAUACAUACAUAUACAAAUGCUUUUUCCCACUCGUGUAUUUAUACAUAUAGCAUUUAUAAAUUUUGUAUAAAUACAUCAAUGGGAAAAAGUCCUGAUGUUUUUGUAACACUUUAAAAUUCACACUUUACAUGCCUUGUCUCAUUUGAGCAUCAGAACAACUCUGCUACAUGGAAUUGUCCCCAUUUUUAAGUGGCAGAAGCUAAUGCUCAAAGGAUAACUUGCCCAUGGUCCGUUAUUUAUCGUCUCUGUGAUUUGUUCUUUGGCCCACUUGUUAUUUAAGACAAUGUUCUUUAGCCUCCAUUAACUUCUGCAGCUUUAGCAGGUUAAGCCUUAUUAGUUACAAUUUUAUUGCUUUGUGAUUUGUAGAGGAUGUAUUUUAGUAUUUUUGCCUUUCUGAAUUUAUAAGUUCUUUAUGCUCUGCCAUAUAGUUGAUUUUUGUAAAUGUAUGAUGUGAUUUGGGUGCUUCUUAACAUUUCCAUUCAGUAAUUGGAAAACGAUUAUUAUAUUAAAUUUUGGAACAUUUUAUUCAGAUCCUUA